UAAAAAGUCUGUUAUGCCUUUUUUUGUGUGUUUUACAAAACCGUAUAACCGACUUUUACUU
rnacentral:pre_miRNA from 1 species